rnacentral:misc_RNA from 1 species
CAGAGUUGCAAAACUCCCAACCCUUUGUGAACGAACUAGACAGUUGCCUCGGCGGGGCGCUUCUUAGGAGGCUGACCGCCGGAGGAAUGCAAACUCUUUAUAUUUUGUAUCUCUGAGUACUUAUUCAAUAAGUUA